GCGCCCAUAGCUUAGUGGUAAAGCACCCGCCUUUUAAGCGGAGUAUCCAGGUCCGAUUCCUGGUGGGCGCA
rnacentral:tRNA from 1 species